rnacentral:tRNA from 1 species
GCCGGGAUGGCGGAAUCGGCAGACGCAGAGGACUUAAAAUCCUCCAAAGGGCGACCUUUGUGCGGGUUCAAGUCCCGCUCCCGGCACCA